rnacentral:tRNA from 1 species
GCUGGAGUAGCUCAGCUGGUAGAGCAGCGGUUUUGUAAACCGCAGGUCAUGGGUUCAAAUCCCUUCUCCAGCUCCA